rnacentral:rRNA from 1 species
AACGAACGCUGGCGGCAGGCUUAAUACAUGCAAGUCGAACGCCCCUUUCGGGGGGUGUGGCAGACGGGUGAGUAACGCGUGGGAACGUGCCCAAAGGUAGGGAACAACUCCGGGAAACUGGAGCUAAUACCCUAUGUGCCCGAGAGGGGAAAGAUUUAUCGCCUCUGGAUCGGCCCGCGUUGGAUUAGCUAGUUGGUGGGGUAAAAGCCUACCAAGGCGACGAUCCAUAGCUGUUCUGAGAGGAAGAUCAGCCACACUGGGACUGAGACACGGCCCAGACUCCUACGGGAGGCAGCAGUAGGGAAUCUUGGACAAUGGGCGCAAGCCUGAUCCAGCCAUGCCGCGUGAGUGGUGAAGGCCUUAGGGUUGUAAAACUCUUUCGCAGGUGACGAUAAUGACGGUAACCUGAGAAGAAGCCCCGGCUAACUUCGUGCCAGCCGCCGCCGUAA